GAAAAACAGUUCAAAUGUUGGAAAUCAGGCGCCCACCUAGAGAACAAAGGGAAAACAAUUCAAAUAUUCAUAAUCAGGCGCUCACCUGGAGAACAAAAGGAAGCAGUCCAAGUUUCGAGGAAAAACAGUUCAAGUGCUGAAAAUCAGGUGUCCACCUAGAGAACAAAGGGAAAACAAUUUAAGUUUUAGAGGAAAGGAAUACAAUUGGAGUUCAGCAAUCAGGCGCCCACCUGAAAAACGAAGGGAAAACAAGUCAAGUUUCGAGGAAAAGUAGUGCAAUUGUUAAUCAAGCGCCCACCUGGAGAACAAAGGGAAAGCACCUCAGAAUACAAUUCAAGUCAGCAAUAAAGGAAGCUCACCUAGAGAGUACAAGUCAAUAGAGCAGCAGAAACUGCAAGAUCAAGUUUGAAUAAGUGUGGAUAGGAUUCCUGUAAUUCAUAGAUCAUAAGUUUAGUCCAGCUUCUUUUUAUUUUGUCUUGGUGUAAAAAGGGGUUCAACAAGCAGUAGCAACAACAACAACAGUGAAAUCACAGCUUCCUGGUAGUUCCUACUACCGAAACUUCCCAAACUAUACUGACCUGAUUCUUUUAGCCAAGGAUAUAUAGGCAACCCGGAAGCAGGGUGCGGUCAAAUUUUUCAAAAGCUUCCCACGGAGUAUCCAAAUGGGUAAAAAUCACUCGUAUCCUCUCACUUUAUCUUUGCACGAAAACUCUUCGUGUUUCCAAGCAAAGAGGGGUAGCUUUGAGCAUGUGAUUUUGCCCUAUGUGAAUUACUCUCAUAAAAUACAAGAAAAAUAAUUUUUUCCAUUUUUACAAUUUUAUAGAAUUUUGUGGAAAUUUGUGCUAAUUGUUUGCAUUUCUGCGCAUGUUUAUUUGUGUUAAAAAAUUAUGAAAAGCCAAAAAUACCAUGCAUUGAAUUUAGGUCAUUUUUUAUGUUUAAUUAGUCAAUUAUUUGAUUUAUUAAAAUUGAAAAUCAAAAAUUAGUUUAUUUUUGCAUUUUUAGCCUUUUAGCAUUAAAUUAGUAAUUUCUUCUUUUAAUUUAGGAGUAAUUAACUUUCAUAAAUACCUUAGUAAAUAAUUAGUUUAAUUUUACAACCUAGUUUAAUUUAAGAGUCUUAAUUAGGUUUUUAAUUAAUUGAAAAGGAAAAGAAAACAAUUAUAAAAGGAAAUAAAAGAGAACAAAAUUGAGAAUUUGAUUAAAAGACCCGAAAUUGGGCCAGUUCAAUGAAAAAACCCAAACCAAUCCUUCUACCCGCCCAGGCCCAAUCCCUAACCCGGUCCAGCCCCAACCCCAAGCCAAACAGUGUCGUUUUAUUCAAACGAAUCCCAUCCGUUGAUCUUCUUCUCAUCGAACGGAUGGGAAUUGGUCACUAGGACAAUAUAAGAAUGUCUGAACGAGCCCUACCCCCCAGUUCCAUCUGCUUCAUUUCACACCUCUCAGACUCAGAAACCAAAACCCUAACCACCGCCCUAAAUUCCCAAGCUCCUACCGGCCGGCGGCGGGCUCCAAACCACCCCAAAUUCAUACCACGCAACCCCCAGGCCCUCCUAAAUCCUAUCCCCACAUAUAUUUCCCAAAAAUCCCAAUGAAAUUCCCCCAAUUCCAAAUCUAGGAAUUUCAAAUCCUAAAUUAUUCUAUUUUUCUAAUUCCGCGCAAGUUCCGGCUCGCUUUGACCUAUAGCCUAUGUUAGUCAAUUGCUCUUAACGAGAGCAAUCGAUUGGCAUUGGUUUUAGUUCAUUCCGAGGAUGCCGGAUUUUGACGAACUCAUCGGAUUCCGGCCAAAUAUCUACUCCCAUCAUCAUUCGUCGAUUUGUUUCAUUUUGUAAAGACAUUCCGGCGUGAAUUGAUAGUUUCCCCUCUUUUUUCUCACGACUCUGUCCGUUGUAGUAUUUUCUGUUAUUUAUUUAUUUAUUUACUUUUAUUAGCUUCAUUGUUUUUGUCUUGUUUUCUUUAGUAGUGGAAUGCAUCUUAUUUUUGGUGGUUAAGUUAAGUUUAAUCAUAUUCUGGAUUGUUUUUUUUUUUUUCUGAAUUUGAUCCUUUUGUUUGAGCAUUUUUGAUGGUUUGAGUUUUUGUAUUAACUGUGGUCAUCAUUGACCCAGUUGAGAGACCCGUUCAUUUGGGUCUUGGGUUAAUUUGACCCAAGUUUGCAUUCUGAAUGUAAAAAUAAGGAGGUCAGGGGGCAUUUUGGGCAUUUGAGGGUAGGGAAUCACUUUCUGUUGGGAAGAAGCUUCUAGAGGUUAAAUUUGGAGCUGGUUUGUUAAGAGAUAAGGAAGGGUCAGAUAUUUUAAAGGAGUAAAAAGGGUAAAAUGGCUAAGAAAAGCAGGGGCGGGAAGGGAAAAUGUUAGCUAGGUUAGGGCUGCCUUAGGAGUGCCUAUAUAAAGACCUCUUUCAUUCAUUUUUGAAGCAGCCAUUGAUACUUUUAAAAAAAUAUGUCCUGCAAUCUUUAGUCAAAUAGAUAGCAUUACAAAUCACAACUACGUCACGGGAGCCGUACCCGUAGCCAUGAUAAUUUAUUCGGACGCGCCUAAAGCAAGUUACAAUGUUCAUAAAUUAUUUUCUAAACUACUUUAGCAUUAUUGUAAGGCCAUAAGAGUAUGUAAUUUAUUGGAAAAGCAUGAAAUAGAUUAAUUUAAUCGUUCACGAACUAAAAAAGGGGGCAAUUUUAUAAGAUUAAUGGACCUAGCAGAUUUUCAAGUUUUAGCUCAAAGAUAAACUAACUUUCUUUAUUAGCUCAUUGUAACCUCACAACCCCACUACCUUCAGACAGCCCACGUAGUCUAGGUCUAACAGAUUUCAACGUAUUUCACCAGUGACCUAAUUCUAGUCAAACUUAUUUAACAACUUAACUCUGUACUUUAGACCAUUAAUAACUUGAUUAUAGGUGAAACUACUAAAACACAUUUAUCAACACAUGAAAAGGACUAAAUGACCAAAUAGAGACAUAAACCUUGCGCAAAUUUCCAUUUCAAUAAGAAACUGCCUUUUAUGAUUAACAUUCACAACUCACUUAUCUUUUAGUUUUUAGUAAUCUUAAUCCAAAUUUCAUUAAACUAUUCUUGGGAUGAACCCUUUUAAGAGAACAAGCUAAUAAACUUCACUUCACUCGAAUACAACUAAAGUUAUGUAUAUUUAGUAUCAAAAUAAAAAUAUGAAUGACAUCUAAAAUGAAAUAAGGUCAAUCACGUAAGGAAACUAAAGUUUCAACACAUAUCAAUAACCCACAACACUUGUAUUCAAACCAUUAUGAAGAGAACAUGAUGCAUAAAUAAACUAAAAAAAAUGAAAGAGAAUGGACCUUAAUUUGGCAAAACUUUAAUUUCUUGUUUUUUUUUUGUUUUGUCUUCUGCCGUUCGAACUCAAACAAGGGCCAGCGAACGAGACCUUGACAAACUGAACUCAACCGGAGCUUUGACGAAGCUCAAGAAUGGUGAUUUGAUAGUUAUUUCUGGGGUUUUAAAGCUGAAUUUUAGGCGAUUUCUGAACAGAUUUUCAGAUAUGUUUGGAUUUGAUUUCUGGACUGUUUUGGGUCGAAUUUUGGGGCUAAUUUGGGGUGAGUUUUAACUGGUUUUCUGCUUGGUUUUCAUGGCUAUUUUGCUGCCUUUUUCAGCUGUAAAUGGUGGUGUUUUGGAGGAACAAAAGGUGAAGUUAUGAGUGUUUUCAUGAUGGAGAAGAAAGGAGGAAAAGUAUGGUGGCCUCGUGUUCUUAGAAAAGAAAGCUACUGAUAAGAUAAAGAAACUUUUUGCUAAAAACAAUCAAUCUGCCGCUGUUCUUGAAGAAGAAGACAAUUUAUCUCAAAAAAAAU
rnacentral:lncRNA from 1 species